ACUGCCAUGGAUGGCAGGGGUGUGAAUCAGCAGUGAGUUUUAUCCGAUCCAUGUAUGUAAACGGAUAAAACUCAUCAUUCACGAUUGUACACGGGAUGUACAAUCGUGAACAGAC
rnacentral:sRNA from 1 species